rnacentral:rRNA from 1 species
GACGUAGGGGGCCAGCGUUGUUCGGAAUUACUGGGUGUAAAGGGUUCGUAGGCGGUGUGGCAAGUCGGGAGUGAAAUCUCUGGGCUCAACUCAGGGGCUGCUUCCGAAACUGCUGUGCUAGAGUGUGGGAGAGGCGCGUGGAAUUGCAGGUGUAGCGGUGAAAUGCGUAGAUAUCUGCAGGAACACCCGUGGCGAAAGCGGCGCGCUGGACCACUACUGACGCUGAGGAACGAAAGCUAGGGGAG